GAAGAGGAGAGCCCAUAACGAAAGUCACGGUCAAGGCGUUAAGGCUGCUGCGCUCCCCUCGCCAAGUAAAGUUUUUUUUGUGGUGCACGUGCGGAUUACAUAAUCCCGUUACCUUGAUACGACAAUUUUUUUUUGAGCUGCAAGUAAAGGAAAGCAGGACUGGGAAGCCUGAAGCGGCGAAAAACUUGAGCCGAUCAGACCCAGUUACCAGUUUUAAAAAUCAGCCAGGUCACCCAAGUUAGCCUGGCGAGUUUUUUUGUGAGGUCCGGACAAUAAAGACGGCCAGAGAUUUUUUUGAAGAAAAUUAUUACGGCGUGGAUGACCGACACGCUUACCAAGAGGCGGCAACGGGAGUCAGUCGGCUUCAGUCAGAUUUUUUUUUUUUUGUUAUUAGAUUUUUUUGAAUAAUUAAUUGUUUUUUCGUGUAGUGUUUGUUGUAAAAUUGUAUGAUUAUUUAUUUAAUGAUUAGGGUUACUUACAUUUUUUUGGUUAUUAUUUUUAUUUACACAUAGGCCAUAAUAUCUACAUCUUAUUCAAAUGUUUUUAUUAUUUACACUUUGAAUACAUACUGUCUACAUGCAUUAUACUUACAUCUACACAUAAACGUAUAAUAACGUCUUAUACCCAUAUAAUUUAUAUUUAAACAUUGUCGAAUUGUUUGGUUUAUUUGUAUUUUUUUAUUUAUAUUUUUAUUUAUAUAAAUCCAUGAUUGGCCCAAGUGAGCGUGGGGAUUUGAGCCCGGAAUAAUAUAAAUUCAUUUUCUUUGCGUAUACAAUUACGUUCUUUUUUAAUCCCUGGUAAAGAGAGAAUAAACAACCUCAAGAGCUCUUACGGUAGGUCAGGGUCGAGGAGUAUAUAAAUUUUGGGAAACCCGAGAACGUACACUGGGGUCCACAAAAGGGUAAUAUGUUGUAAAAACUAGUAAAUAAGAAUUAUUAAAGAAAAAUAAGAAAGAUGAACAUGGACUAAAGAUUACUUAAUGGGAGAGGGGGGAUAUUAGUAAAAGGGGUACAUAAUGGUGCAAUAAAAAAAAAAGAAAUAAAGGUAAACAAAUGUAUUUGGGGCUGCUGCAAGUAUGUUGCUCAAGGCAGUCUGCAUGGUCGGGAGGGAUGAGCAGGUGACCUCCAGUUCAGCAGGAGGAGCCCAAAGUAUUGCAAAAUGUGUGUAGGUUUAAAAGACUUAUAUUUGUGUAUUUUUAUACCCUUGCA